GGUAAACGCUGGCGGCGUGCCUAAUACAUGCAAGUCGAGCGAACGGACGAGAAGCUUGCUUCUCUGAUGUUAGCGGCGGACGGGUGAGUAACACGUGGAUAACCUACCUAUAAGACUGGGAUAACUUCGGGAAACCGGAGCUAAUACCGGAUAAUAUUUUGAACCGCAUGGUUCAAAAGUGAAAGACGGUCUUGCUGUCACUUAUAGAUGGAUCCGCGCUGCAUUAGCUAGUUGGUAAGGUAACGGCUUACCAAGGCAACGAUGCAUAGCCGACCUGAGAGGGUGAUCGGCCACACUGGAACUGAGACACGGUCCAGACUCCUACGGGAGGCAGCAGUAGGGAAUCUUCCGCAAUGGGCGAAAGCCUGACGGAGCAACGCCGCGUGAGUGAUGAAGGUCUUCGGAUCGUAAAACUCUGUUAUUAGGGAAGAACAUAUGUGUAAGUAACUGUGCACAUCUUGACGGUACCUAAUCAGAAAGCCACGGCUAACUAUGUGCCAGCAGCCGCGGUAAUACGUAGGUGGCAAGCGUUAUCCGGAAUUAUUGGGCGUAAAGCGCGCGUAGGCGGUUUUUUAAGUCUGAUGUGAAAGCCCACGGCUCAACCGUGGAGGGUCAUUGGAAACUGGAAAACUUGAGUGCAGAAGAGGAAAGUGGAAUUCCAUGUGUAGCGGUGAAAUGCGCAGAGAUAUGGAGGAACACCAGUGGCGAAGGCGACUUUCUGGUCUGUAACUGACGCUGAUGUGCGAAAGCGUGGGGAUCAAACAGGAUUAGAUACCCUGGUAGUCCACGCCGUAAACGAUGAGUGCUAAGUGUUAGGGGGUUUCCGCCCCUUAGUGCUGCAGCUAACGCAUUAAGCACUCCGCCUGGGGAGUACGACCGCAAGGUUGAAACUCAAAGGAAUUGACGGGGACCCGCACAAGCGGUGGAGCAUGUGGUUUAAUUCGAAGCAACGCGAAGAACCUUACCAAAUCUUGACAUCCUUUGACAACUCUAGAGAUAGAGCCUUCCCCUUCGGGGGACAAAGUGACAGGUGGUGCAUGGUUGUCGUCAGCUCGUGUCGUGAGAUGUUGGGUUAAGUCCCGCAACGAGCGCAACCCUUAAGCUUAGUUGCCAUCAUUAAGUUGGGCACUCUAAGUUGACUGCCGGUGACAAACCGGAGGAAGGUGGGGAUGACGUCAAAUCAUCAUGCCCCUUAUGAUUUGGGCUACACACGUGCUACAAUGGACAAUACAAAGGGCAGCGAAACCGCGAGGUCAAGCAAAUCCCAUAAAGUUGUUCUCAGUUCGGAUUGUAGUCUGCAACUCGACUACAUGAAGCUGGAAUCGCUAGUAAUCGUAGAUCAGCAUGCUACGGUGAAUACGUUCCCGGGUCU
rnacentral:rRNA from 1 species